rnacentral:rRNA from 1 species
UACAGAGGUCUCAAGCGUUGUUCGGAUUCAUUGGGCGUAAAGGGUGCGUAGGCGGCGCGGUAAGUCGGGUGUGAAAUCUCGGAGCUUAACUCCGAACUGCGUUCGAUACUGCCGUGCUUGAGGACUGGAGAGGAGACUGGAAUUUACGGUGUAGCGGUGAAAUGCGUAGAUAUCGUAAGGAAGACCAGUGGCGAAGGCGGGUCUCUGGACAGUUCCUGACGCUGAGGCACGAAGGUCAGGGGAGCAAACGGG